UCAAUUACCAAGCUUCAAGGUUUGUGAAUUGGCGUGGAGUGUACAUUGCUUGUUGGUGAGAAUUUCGAGUCCACUUCGAGGUGAGACAGAAUCUAGUGCACAGGCUGUGGAUCAGCGGGAGGACGCGUGAUGGAGGUGGCCUGGACAUUAGUUUGUUUUGCAUAUCUACGUGGUACUUGUGUGUGAUUUAUAUAUAUAUGUUUAUGGCUGUAUUUUGAUUAUGAAUAUGUACGGAUAUGGGUACUCAUACAUGAUAUGUUGUUUGCAUACUACUUUUGUGUGUAUAGGUUGUAGUACGAGAGUUUAUAUGUAUGCUUGAAUAUGGAUGAUGUAUGGAUGACCCAGAGUGGUAUCCCAUGAUUUUGGAUGAUGGAUACUGAUGAUGAAAUUUGUAGUAAAUGGUGAACCCUGAGGGUCAAUGGAUUUGGAUAUAAUAGAAGUGUUUAUUUGUUGUGUCUUGAUUA